AGCCUCUAAAGUUGAUAAUUUCUUACAGAAAAAGAACAAACACAUCAUCAUAAUAGAAUUAUAGUAGUAACUAUCAAAUUAGAAUCUAAAAAAAAUAAUAUCUACUAUAGUCUAUAGUAGGAUAUAUGUAAGUAAAAGUUAUCUUGCUGUAUGUAGUGUUAGUUUUCGGAAAUUAUGAAUUACUGAAUUAUGUUUGAAAAUCUAUGUGGAGGGCUAAGCCUCCCACAGAUUGGGUUGAGUCUAAUAAUUGCAAGGAACACUCAUUUUUUGUUUUUUAGUCCCUCAUCAUUUAUUUUAUCAAUUUGAGCACUGAAUUGUAACCUGAUAGUUGGACUCGGACAGUAGAUGCAGGUAUAUUGGCCUCUUAAUUGAAUGAUGGUGUAUUCUAUUAUUACUAUUUU